rnacentral:rRNA from 1 species
GCAUAUCAAUAAGCGGAGGAAAAGAAACCAACAGGGAUUGCCCUUAGUAACGGCGAAGUGAAGCGGCAACAGCUUCAAAUUUGAAAUCUGGCUCUCGGGCCCGAGUUGUAAUUUGUAGAGGAUGCUUUUGAUGCGGUGCCUUCCGAGUUCCCUGGAACGGGACGCCAUAGAGGGUGAGAGCCCCGUCUGGUUGGAUGCCAAAUCUCUGUAAAGCUCCUUCGACGAGUCGAGUAGUUUGGGAAUGCUGCUCUAAAUGGGAGGUAUAUGUCUUCUAAAGCUAAAUAUUGGCCAGAGACCGAUAGCGCACAAGUAGAGUGAUCGAAAGAUGAAAAGCACUUUGAAAAGAGAGUUAAAAAGUACGUGAAAUUGUUGAAAGGGAAGCGUUUAUGACCAGACUUGGGCUUGGUUAAUCAUCUGGGGUUCUCCCCAGUGCACUUUUCCAGUCCAGGCCAGCAUCAGUUUUCGCCGGGGGAUAAAGGCUUCGGGAAUGUGGCUCCCUCCGGGGAGUGUUAUAGCCCGUUGCGUAAUACCCUGGCGGGGACUGAGGUUCGCGCAUCUGCAAGGAUGCUGGCGUAAUGGUCAUCAACGACCCGUCUUGAAACACGGACCAAGGAGUCGUCUUCGUAUGCGAGUGUUCGGGUGUCAAACCCCUACGCGUAAUGAAAGUGAACGCAGGUGAGAGCUUCGGCGCAUCAUCGACCGAUCCUGAUGUUCUCGGAUGGAUUUGAGUAAGAGCAUACGGGGCCGGACCCGAAAGAAGGUGAACUAUGCCUGUGUAGGGUGAAGCCAGAGGAAACUCUGGUGGAGGCUCGCAGCGGUUCUGACGUGCAAAUCGAUCGUCAAACAUGGGCAUGGGGGGCGAAAGACUAAUCGAACCUUCUAGUAGCUGGUUUCCGCCGAAG